AUCGCUUCUUGGCCUUUUGGCUAAGAUCAACUGGAGUAUCUGUUUCUAUCAGUUUAAUAAAACAGGAACAAAAAUAAGUCAGUAACUUUGAAUAGUUCGAAUAAAUCUGAUAAAAUGUUCAAAUUUAUUCAGUUAAAGUGUUUUUGUCUAUGAUUUUUAACCAUU
ensembl:snRNA U2 U2 spliceosomal RNA